rnacentral:rRNA from 1 species
UACGGGGGAGGCAAGCGUUGUUCGGAAUUACUGGGCGUAAAGGGCUCGUAGGUGGCCAACUAAGUCAGACGUGAAAUCCCUCGGCUUAACCGGGGAACUGCGUCUGAUACUGGAUGGCUUGAGUUCGGGAGAGGGAUGCGGAAUUCCAGGUGUAGCGGUGAAAUGCGUAGAUAUCUGGAGGAACACCGGUGGCGAAGGCGGCAUCCUGGACCGACACUGACACUGAGCCGCGAAAGCCAGGGGAGCGAACGGG